rnacentral:rRNA from 1 species
GAUGAACGCUAGCGGCAGGCCUAAUACAUGCAAGUCGAACGGAUAUAUGUUUUUCGGAAUAUAUAUUAGUGGCGCACGGGUGAGUAACACGUACAUAACUUGCCCUCAAGCGGGGGAUAGCCUUGGGAAACUGAGAGUAAUACCCCAUAGAAUUAUUGGACGGCAUCGUUUGAUAAUUAAAACUACGGUGCUUGGGGAUAGAUGUGCGUCUGAUUAGCUAGUUGGUGAGGUAACUGCUCACCAAGGCGACGAUCAGUAGGGGGCGUGAGAGCGUGGCCCCCCACACGGGGUACUGAGACACGGACCCGACUCCUACGGGAGGCAGCAGUAAGGAAUAUUGGUCAAUGGAGGGAACUCUGAACCAGCCAUGCCGCGUGAAGGAUGACGGCCCUCUGGGUUGUAAACUUCUUUUGGAUGGGGCGAAAAACGGGAUUUAUCCUGGACUGACGGUACCAUCAGAAUAAGCACCGGCUAACUCCGUGCCAGCAGCCGCGGUAAUCA